GUGUAGGAUAGGUGGGAGGCUUUGAAGCGUGGACGCCAGUCUGCGUGGAGCCGACCUUGAAAUACCACCCUUUAAUGUUUGAUGUUCUAACGUGGAUCCGUAAUCCGGGUUGCGGACAGUGUCUGGUGGGUAGUUUGACUGGGGCGGUCUCCUCCUAAAGAGUAACGGAGGAGCACGAAGGUUGGCUAAUCCUGGUCGGACAUCAGGAGGUUAGUGCAAUGGCAUAAGCCAGCUUGACUGCGAGCGUGACGGCGCGAGCAGGUGCGAAAGCAGGUCAUAGUGAUCCGGUGGUUCUGAAUGGAAGGGCCAUCGCUCAACGGAUAAAAGGUACUCCGGGGAUAACAGGCUGAUACCGCCCAAGAGUUCAUAUCGACGGCGGUGUUUGGCACCUCGAUGUCGGCUCAUCACAUCCUGGGGCUGAAGUAGGUCCCAAGGGUAUGGCUGUUCGCCAUUUAAAGUGGUACGCGAGCUGGGUUUAGAACGUCGUGAGACAGUUCGGUCCCUAUCUGCCGUGGGCGCUGGAGAACUGAGGGGGGCUGCUCCUAGUACGAGAGGACCGGAGUGGACGCAUCACUGGUGUUCGGGUUGUCAUGCCAAUGGCACUGCCCGGUAGCUAAAUGCGGAAGAGAUAAGUGCUGAAAGCAUCUAAGCACGAAACUUGCCCCGA
rnacentral:rRNA from 2 species